GGGGAAUGGACUAGGGAGUGUGAAGUCACACUGCUAGCCACCUGGUGUUCGUGCUAAUCCACAUUAGUCUCUCUAGGACACACUGCAGGCCCAGCAGGCUGACAGGAAUGCUUUAAAUGCACGCUUCAACUCGCGUGGACACAAUUCCAUAGAUUAGUUGACAAAAUCCUCAAAAAAAUAAUGUAUUUUAUCUUCUGAGAGAUUUGAAACAAAUCCUGGAACUUCAACCAGAGGAGGUUCAUUACCCUGACAAUAUGAUUUUUGGCAUUGAGGCCCAUUAUCUGUCCCGUUUCUCAAAAUUAGUAAGUUUUAGCUUCCUGCCCUGACCUUGUAUUAUACUUUUAUUGCCUGAGUUUUUGAAGCAGUAUAAUAAAUAUGCCUAACUCCAUAAUUAUAUUGUAUAAGUAUUCAUGAGUUCUCUCCCUUUAAAAGUAAUGCUCAGAAUUAAGCUUUGAAACUUUUUAGUUUGUCUAGAACUUUCUUACUUUGUGGAAUUCCUAUAUUCAACCAUGGAUUAGACAUUUUGAUACACUGCCUAUUCCCUUGAAAACUUGAUAAUGCUCUCACGAACCUUAGUCUUAUUUUGUAUACUGGAUGUUUCGAGAUUUAUCGCAUUAUGUACAUACCAUCGAUAUAAGUGGCUUUCAUGCUUAAAUGUGGCAUGAUGAUCUGAUUUAAGAUUCAGCUUUAUACUGGUGGAAAAGCAGAGUGUGUUCUGUAGAGAUUACCGGGAAUGAGGAUGUUCUCCCAGGCUGGUGUGAUAUGUGGUGUGACCCUCUCUUCCAAUGCUGGACAAUGGCAGUGACUACAGCUCCCAAUGAGCUCCAGGAUCAUAAGACUGACACAAACAGAUUCUCCGUGUGUGUGGGUUGCUAGGCUGGGGUGUUUGUGAUUAGGCGCAAGAAGUGCAUUUGCAAACUUCCAAUAUUUUUAACUUAUGAUGAGUUUAUUGGGAAGUAAGUGCA
rnacentral:lncRNA from 1 species